UUAAGGGCGCACGGUGGAUGCCUUGGCACUAGAAGCCGAUGAAGGACGUUACUAACGACGAUAUGCUUUGGGGAGCUGUAAGUAAGCUUUGAUCCAGAGAUUUCCGAAUGGGGAAACCCAGCAUGAGUUAUGUCAUGUUAUCGAUAUGUGAAUACAUAGCAUAUCAGAAGGCACACCCGGAGAACUGAAACAUCUUAGUACCCGGAGGAAGAGAAAGAAAAUUCGAUUCCCUUAGUAGCGGCGAGCGAAACGGGAAGAGCCCAAACCAACAAGCUUGCUUGUUGGGGUUGUAGGACACUCUAUACGGAGUUACAAAGGACGACAUUAGACGAAUCAUCUGGAAAGAUGAAUCAAAGAAGGUAAUAAUCCUGUAGUCGAAAAUGUUGUCUCUCUUGAGUGGAUCCUGAGUACGACGGAGCACGUGAAAUUCCGUCGGAAUCUGGGAGGACCAUCUCCUAAGGCUAAAUACUCUCUAGUGACCGAUAGUGAACCAGUACCGUGAGGGAAAGGUGAAAAGCACCCCGGAAGGGGAGUGAAAUAGAACCUGAAACCGUGUGCUUACAAGUAGUCAGAGCCCGUUAAUGGGUGAUGGCGUGCCUUUUGUAGAAUGAACCGGCGAGUUACGAUUUGAUGCAAGGUUAAGCAGUAAAUGUGGAGCCGUAGCGAAAGCGAGUCUGAAUAGGGCGUUUAGUAUUUGGUCGUAGACCCGAAACCAGGUGAUCUACCCUUGGUCAGGUUGAAGUUCAGGUAACACUGAAUGGAGGACCGAACCGACUUACGUUGAAAAGUGAGCGGAUGAACUGAGGGUAGCGGAGAAAUUCCAAUCGAACCUGGAGAUAGCUGGUUCUCUCCGAAAUAGCUUUAGGGCUAGCCUCAAGUGAUGAUUAUUGGAGGUAGAGCACUGUUUGGACGAGGGGCCCCUCUCGGGUUACCGAAUUCAGACAAACUCCGAAUGCCAAUUAAUUUAACUUGGGAGUCAGAACAUGGGUGAUAAGGUCCGUGUUCGAAAGGGAAACAGCCCAGACCACCAGCUAAGGUCCCAAAAUAUAUGUUAAGUGGAAAAGGAUGUGGCGUUGCCCAGACAACUAGGAUGUUGGCUUAGAAGCAGCCAUCAUUUAAAGAGUGCGUAAUAGCUCACUAGUCGAGUGACACUGCGCCGAAAAUGUACCGGGGCUAAACAUAUUACCGAAGCUGUGGAUUGUCCUUUGGACAAUGGUAGGAGAGCGUUCUAAGGGCGUUGAAGCAUGAUCGUAAGGACAUGUGGAGCGCUUAGAAGUGAGAAUGCCGGUGUGAGUAGCGAAAGACGGGUGAGAAUCCCGUCCACCGAUUGACUAAGGUUUCCAGAGGAAGGCUCGUCCGCUCUGGGUUAGUCGGGUCCUAAGCUGAGGCCGACAGGCGUAGGCGAUGGAUAACAGGUUGAUAUUCCUGUACCACCUAUAAUCGUUUUAAUCGAUGGGGGGACGCAGUAGGAUAGGCGAAGCGUGCGAUUGGAUUGCACGUCUAAGCAGUAAGGCUGAGUAUUAGGCAAAUCCGGUACUCGUUAAGGCUGAGCUGUGAUGGGGAGAAGACAUUGUGUCUUCGAGUCGUUGAUUUCACACUGCCGAGAAAAGCCUCUAGAUAGAAAAUAGGUGCCCGUACCGCAAACCGACACAGGUAGUCAAGAUGAGAAUUCUAAGGUGAGCGAGCGAACUCUCGUUAAGGAACUCGGCAAAAUGACCCCGUAACUUCGGGAGAAGGGGUGCUCUUUAGGGUUAACGCCCAGAAGAGCCGCAGUGAAUAGGCCCAAGCGACUGUUUAUCAAAAACACAGGUCUCUGCUAAACCGUAAGGUGAUGUAUAGGGGCUGACGCCUGCCCGGUGCUGGAAGGUUAAGAGGAGUGGUUAGCUUCUGCGAAGCUACGAAUCGAAGCCCCAGUAAACGGCGGCCGUAACUAUAACGGUCCUAAGGUAGCGAAAUUCCUUGUCGGGUAAGUUCCGACCCGCACGAAAGGCGUAACGAUUUGGGCACUGUCUCAACGAGAGACUCGGUGAAAUCAUAGUACCUGUGAAGAUGCAGGUUACCCGCGACAGGACGGAAAGACCCCGUGGAGCUUUACUGUAGCCUGAUAUUGAAAUUCGGCACAGCUUGUACAGGAUAGGUAGGAGCCUUUGAAACGUGAGCGCUAGCUUACGUGGAGGCGCUGGUGGGAUACUACCCUAGCUGUGUUGGCUUUCUAACCCUCACCACUUAUCGUGGUGGGAGACAGUGUCAGGCGGGCAGUUUGACUGGGGCGGUCGCCUCCUAAAAGGUAACGGAGGCGCUCAAAGGUUCCCUCAGAAUGGUUGGAAAUCAUUCAUAGAGUGUAAAGGCAUAAGGGAGCUUGACUGCGAGACCUACAAGUCGAGCAGGGUCGAAAGACGGACUUAGUGAUCCGGUGGUUCCGCAUGGAAGGGCCAUCGCUCAACGGAUAAAAGCUACCCCGGGGAUAACAGGCUUAUCUCCCCCAAGAGUUCACAUCGACGGGGAGGUUUGGCACCUCGAUGUCGGCUCAUCGCAUCCUGGGGCUGUAGUCGGUCCCAAGGGUUGGGCUGUUCGCCCAUUAAAGCGGUACGCGAGCUGGGUUCAGAACGUCGUGAGACAGUUCGGUCCCUAUCCGUCGUGGGCGUAGGAAAUUUGAGAGGAGCUGUCCUUAGUACGAGAGGACCGGGAUGGACAUACCUCUGGUGUACCAGUUGUCGUGCCAACGGCAUAGCUGGGUAGCUAUGUGUGGACGGGAUAAGUGCUGAAAGCAUCUAAGCAUGAAGCCCCCCUCAAGAUGAGAUUUCCCAACUUCGGUUAUAAGAUCCCUCAAAGAUGAUGAGGUUAAUAGGUUCGAGGUGGAAGCAUGGUGACAUGUGGAGCUGACGAAUACUAAUCGAUCGAAGACUUAAUC
rnacentral:rRNA from 1 species